rnacentral:sRNA from 1 species
UUAUAGCCGCGAUGGGAGCGGUAUCCUUUUUUGCUGGAGGGGUUUUGAUGUUAUAAACUAAAGUGCUGGCAAAAAAGAUAUAGCGGAUAGCGCGACGGGUU